GAUGAAGAACGCAGCGAAAUGCGAUACUUGGUGUGAAUUGCAGAAUCCCGUGAACCAUCGAGUCUUUGAACGCAAGUUGCGCCCGAAGCCAUUAGGCCGAGGGCACGCCUGCCUGGGCGUCACACGUCGUUGCCCCCCCAUCUACUCCUUCGGGAUUGCGGGGGGCGGAUGAUGGCCUCCCGUGCGCCUCGUCGCGCGGUUGGCAUAAAUGCCAAGUCCUCGGCGACGCACGCCACGACAAUCGGUGGUUGCGAAACCUCGGUUGCCCGUCGUGUGCGGUCGUCGCGCAUCGAGGGCUCGAAAAAAUUGCCGGGCUCCGGCUCGGCUUUCAACGCGACCCUAGGUCAGGCGGGGUUACCCGCUGAAUUUAAGCAUAUCAAUAAGCGGAGGA
rnacentral:misc_RNA from 1 species